rnacentral:rRNA from 1 species
GACGAACGCUGGCGGCGUGCUUAACACAUGCAAGUCGAACGAAGAGCGACGGAAGCUUGCUUCUAUCAAUCUUAGUGGCGAACGGGUGAGUAACGCGUAAUCAACCUGCCCUUCAGAGGGGGACAACAGUUGGAAACGACUGCUAAUACCGCAUACGAUCUAACCUCGGCAUCGAGGAUAGAUGAAAGGUGGCCUCGACAUGUAAGCUAUCACUGAAGGAGGGGAUUGCGUCUGAUUAGCUAGUUGGAGGGGUAACGGCCCACCAAGGCGAUGAUCAGUAGCCGGUCUGGGAGGAUGAACGGCCACAUUGGGACUGAGACACGGCCCAGACUCCUACGGGAGGCAGCAGUGGGGAAUCUUCCGCAAUGGACGAAAGUCUGACGGAGCAACGCCGCGUGAGUGAUGACGGCCUUCGGGUUGGAAAGCUCUGUUAAUCGGGACGAAAGGCCUUCUUGCGAAUAGUGAGAAGGAUUGACGGUACCGGAAUAGAAAGCCACGGCUAACUACGUG